UGACUAAUAGGAAAUUUUAAGUGAC
rnacentral:miRNA from 1 species